rnacentral:lncRNA from 1 species
CUUUAAAUGCUUUAUGCUAAACGGUUCAAUUUAUAACUUGUGAUAAUGCGGAACAUUGUUAUUUUCAUUGCAGCAAGGGCGAAAACGAGACAAGCAUUCCAGGAUAUACAAACACAUGAUGGAUUUAUGGAGGAAUACAUCAAAUAAUCCAGGAGCUGUGAAUUAUAAAUAUGGAUGACUGCAAAAGCAAAGAAGAAGAUAAUGAAACAAACUGAAAAAGUGUACACGUUUCCUGAAUUAUUAAUAAAUUUGCUGAUUACAA